UACGUAGGGCGCAAGCGUUAUCCGGAAUUAUUGGGCGUAAAGAGCUCGUAGGCGGUCUGUCGCGUCGGCUGUGAAAACUCGGGGCUCAACUCCGAGCUUGCAGUCGAUACGGGCAGGCUAGAGUUCGGCAGGGGAGACUGGAAUUCCUGGUGUAGCGGUGAAAUGCGCAGAUAUCAGGAGGAACACCGGUGGCGAAGGCGGUUCUCUGGGCCUUACCUGACACUGAGGAGCGAAAGCGUGGGGAGCGAACAGG
rnacentral:rRNA from 1 species